rnacentral:lncRNA from 1 species
UCGUCUCCCGGCGAUCGGCGCGGCCAGCCGCCACGAUGGAUUCGGCUCGCCCCCGGAGGGUUCCCAACAAAUCCCGCCGCCCGGACUGGAGAGAGGAGGUUCGUUGACUUUGUUCCAUUCCCAGUACAUCUCACCGGCGGCGCGGCUAGUUCUAUGCUAUCAUGCCGCGCGCAGCAGGCCGGAGUCUAAAGUGUGAUGCUACUGUUGGAUUGCUGGACAACGGGUGCUGCCGCCAUGCGCGCAAGGUGUUCGGUUGAUUGCCUAGAACUGCCAAUAGGGUGUCAGCUGUGUCGUGAAGUCAAACAUUUUUCUGCUAUUUUGUUAGGAACCAUGAAUCUUUAGAGUAGGUUUUGGACUGAACUGCCUCUAGGGUGCCAUCUCACAUUGCCUGUGAGUUGUGCAUGCAAUCUUAUAACUUUUAUGUGCCUUCAUCUCGUAUUACUCAUAAUUUCUCCUUAUCCCCUGUUGUCUUGAUCCACAGCUUAGGGCAAAUUGCAUGACAAGAGUUUAAAAUGAGAGAGUUCACUUGCUCUGGAAGAUGAGGAACCAAGGGCAGCCGCCUGCUAAUGACAUGGUAUCUAAAUAUGGUGCAUUUUCCUUCAUAACAUCUUGUGCAGAUCCAUGCAGCUUAUGUUCUCCUUUACAUGUCAUCUACUCCAUCAGUCCCAUAAUAUAAGAGUGUUUUUCAAGCUAUGUUAGUUUGGAAAACGCUCUUAUAUUGUGGGACGGAGGGACUAGUUGCCACUUACCAGCACAAGAUAUUGGUAUAAGCUACUGUUUUGAAAAGGAAUGCCGAACUCAAGGUUGAUUAGUGUCCAGUAUGAUACCAUUUCCAAACACUUGCAGUGUGUUUCAACCGGCACCCUGCAGUUUAACCAUAGAUUUUGAUAGUUGGUGAUAUUAAACUUUCUGAAGUGAUUCUGUUGUUAGAAAUUUUCAUAGCUCUUGUUUUUUCCCAGUCAUGUUCAUAUUUGCAAUACUGAACUGUUGUAGUUGAAAUAUGAUGCGGUAACUUCACUGUAAGGGCAUAGAAUAAAUGUAAAGUACUCCAGGAUCAUGCUGUUAAGUAUUGUUCCUAAUUGCCCACCACAUAUCUAAUUAUUGAUAACCUAUUCCGGUUCCAUUCGUUAUCAUUAUUUCCACAGUUUUUUUGUUCAAACAUAUACACAUAGUGAAAGUUGGCUACCGUAAUAAACUGAGUACACCAUGACUACCCCAAUUGAUUAAUAUUUCUUGAUUUUCCUUCUUUUAUAUGCAUGUCUAAUCUCUGAUUUAUCCAUAUAUAUAUGUUGGCCAACAGAAAACGGUCGAAUCUUAGUGCUGCUACACCAUGAACACAUUUUUUUAAUUUGACUGUACAUUCAAAUGAAGCCUUUGUUAAGUAUACACUCCAAAAUUCAGUUAACAGUAGCCUAACUGAAUUUUCUGUUUCUUAAUUUAUAAACUCACUUUAUAUUCAGUUUAUAAAUUAACAGUAGCUUCAAAAUUAAGUAUCAUUCACAUGGAUCAACUGUUAUUUUAUUUUGUGGAGGAUAAAGUUCAGAUCAUGAAUAAUGGCAUUACAAGUGAACUUGGCACAAUUACACAUGUUCUGAACCUCAUAGAAUCUGACACUAGCAAGUCUUUAUUGGCAUGCAAGUACUACUUUUACAUUGUCAUGACAGGAACAAUUAAUUUGACAUGUAUCAUUGGUACUGCUAAAACAUUUCGUUCAUGUUUCAACAAAUUUGGUGAAGACCACUUCAUAUGUAUUUUGCAUAUAUGAAUUAUCUCCUGUUGCUUUCUAAGAUGUUAGUUCUUUCAGUUCUAGCCCUCCUAUCUUUAAUUCCUGGCUGAUGGACUACCUACAGGACAACAAGUUCAUCUGCGGUAGCUAUCGCUGUGAGCAGUCCGUCCGCGACGUGCUCCGCAGCGUCUUCGCCGGGCACAACGAGAUCCUCAACGUCUGGAAGUAAGUCACCGGCCAUCUGUUUCCUGAUGAAUUUUCUUUCUAUCUCAAUGUGAUCGGAUCUGACUAGUACGUUCAGAUUUGCUCUUGUUUUCUUUUCAAAUAGUACUAGUAGUCUAUAUUCCAGCUGUGCAACUACCUGUAGCCACUUGAACCGAUGAGAAUUCUUCAAGCCUACCUAUAGCCACUUGAACAGAUGUCUAUCUCAGAUCUGCUCAUCUAAAAAAUCCAAGUGGAGUAGUAUACUGGUAGUAUAGUAUAAUAAUAUUAUCAAAAGGUAAAUGCCCUGAUUAUUUAGCUCUGUCAGAUACAUACUCGUCAAAAGUGGGCUCUGUCAAAAUUCAUUUCCAUUAUAAUCUUAGUCAUACAAUAUUCACACCAUGUAAUUCUGGAAAUAUAUGCUCAUAUUUAGUUCUGCAUAAAAAAUGACAGUAUUGACAUGUUAUAAAUAGUUUGUUUGUCUUUCUGUUUAUUUUGUUACAUUUUGCAGGGAUAAAGUGAAGAAAAAGAAGAAAAGAUUACUAGAAGAUUAGUUUUAGGAUUUUCUUUUAUUUCCUUGCAAUUUUCCUUUUAUUGGAUACUUGUAAAGACAUUGUAAUAUUCUUACUAUAAUAAAAAUUAUGAUUCUAUUUC